rnacentral:rRNA from 1 species
GACGAACGCUGGCGGCGUGCUUAACACAUGCAAGUCGAACGGUAAGGCCCUUCGGGGUACACGAGUGGCGAACGGGUGAGUAACACGUGGGUGAUCUGCCCUGCACUUCGGGAUAAGCCUGGGAAACUGGGUCCAAUACCGGAUAGGACCACUGCCUGCAUGGGUGGUGGUGGAAAGCUUUUGCGGUGUGGGAUGGGCCCGCGGCCUAUGAGCUUGUUGGUGGGGUGAUGGCCGACCAAGGCGACGACGGGUAGUCGGCCUGAGAGGGUGACCGGCCACACUGGACCUGUGAGACAGCCCAGACGCCUACGGGAGGCAGCAGUGGGGAAUAUUGCACAAUGGGCGCAAGCCUGAUGCAGCGACGCCGCGUGAGGGAUGACGGCCUUCGGGUUGUAAACCUCUUUCAGCACCGACGAAGCGCAAGUGACGGUAGGUGCAGAAGAAGGACCGGCCAACUACGUGCCAGCCGCCGCCGUAA